GACUACUGGGGUAUCUAAUCCCGUUUGCUACCCUAGCUUUCGCUCCUCAGCGUCAGUAUUGAUCCAGGCCGCCGCCUUCGCCACCGGUGUUCCUCCGGAUAUCUACGCAUUCCACCGCUACACCCGGAAUUCCGCGACCCUCUAUCAUACUCAAGACCUGCAGUUUCCUACGCACCCUCCCCGGUAAGCGGUGGAGAUUUCACGCAAGACACACAGGUCCGCCUACGAGCCCUUUACGCCCAAUGAUUCCGAACAACGCUCGCCUCCUCCGUAUUACCGCGGCUGCUGGCACGGAGUUAGCCGAGGCUUAUUCAUCAAGUACCGUCAAGCACCAAUUCACGAUCAGUGCGUUCGUCCCUAAUAAAAGCGGUUUACAACCCGAAGGCCUUCAUCCCGCACGCGGCGUCGCUCGUUCACCCUUUCGGGCAUUGACGAAGCCUCUCGACUGCAGCCCCCCGUAGG
rnacentral:rRNA from 1 species